AUUGAACGCUGGCGGCAUGCCUUACACAUGCAAGUCGAACGGCAGCACGGGAGCAAUCCUGGUGGCGAGUGGCGAACGGGUGAGUAAUAUAUCGGAACGUGCCCGGUCGUGGGGAUAACGUAGCGAAAGCUACGCUAAUACCGCAUACGAUCUAUGGAUGAAAGCGGGGGAUCGCAAGACCUCGCGCGAUUAGAGCGGCCGAUAUCAGAUUAGGUAGUUGGUGAGGUAAAGGCUCACCAAGCCGACGAUCUGUAGCUGGUCUGAGAGGACGACCAGCCACACUGGGACUGAGACACGGCCCAGACCCCUACGGAGGCAGCAGUGAGGAAUAUUGGACAAUGGGCGCAAGCCUGAUCCAGCAAUGCCGCGUGCAGGAUGAAGGCCUU
rnacentral:rRNA from 1 species